GAUGAACGCUGGCGGCGUGCCUAACACAUGCAAGUCGAACGGGAGCCCUUGGAUUCGUCUGGGGUGAGAGUGGCGAACGGGUGAGUAACACGUAGGUGACCUGCCCCAAAGAGGGGGAUAACGGCUCGAAAGGGCUGCUAAUACCCCAUGUGGUCGUAGAGGCUAGAGGCUUUACGUCUAAAGGAGUAAUCCACUUCGGGGAUGGGCCUGCGUCCCAUCAGCUAGUUGGUAAGGUAAAAGCCUACCAAGGCGAAGACGGGUUAGGGGGCCUGAGAGGGUGAUCCCCCACACUGGCACUGAAACACGGGCCAGACACCUACGGGUGGCAG
rnacentral:rRNA from 1 species